UCGCUAGAUCUUGUGGAGCCAACGUUGAAAUACCACCCUUUACUUACUUGGAGCCUAACUUCUUUAAAGAAGGACAUUGCGUGGUGGGUAGUUUGACUGGGGUGGUCGCCUCCAAAAGAGUAACGGAGGCUUUCAAAGGUACCCUCAGCACGCUUGGUAACCGUGCGUAGAGUGUAAUGGCAUAAGGGUGCUUGACUGUGAGACCAACAAGUCGAUCAGAUGCGAAAGCAGGACAUAGUGAUCCGGUGGUUCUGUAUGGAAGGGCCAUCGCUCAACGGAUAAAAGGUACUCUGGGGAUAACAGGCUGAUACCGCCCAAGAGUUCAUAUCGACGGCGGUGUUUGGCACCUCGAUGUCGGCUCAUCUCAUCCUGGGGCUGUAGCCGGUCCCAAGGGUAUGGCUGUUCGCCAUUUAAAGCGGUACGUGAGUUGGGUUCAGAACGUCGUGAGACA
rnacentral:rRNA from 1 species